CCUAAAUGAAGAAUGUUUAUCUAUCCAUAAUUGCCGAUCGAAUCUGCAGAUUUACUACUAACUAUGGAUAUCGGACGGCUAUAUGAACAACCGCUGAAAAGAAGACUUACUCGGUCCGAAUGGUAGUGUCUCAGUGCUUUCCUUCUCCUUCUCGUCUCCUCAAUUUGAAAACUACAUGUCGGAAGCAUUCAAAAGGAUGGCCAAAUUCUUCAUCACUGUUUUCCCUUAAGCCUGCAUCUGUAUAAAAGCUACGCUUUCAUCCCCUUUACCGCAACAUUGGCCUCCUCGUCCAUCUUGGCAUCCAUUUCUUUUUCAUCCAUUCUUUUGCCAAUUUCUGAAAGUUAUUUUUCCUUGCAAACAAUCCUUGAUUUUAUCAACAGUGCCCUCCAUUUCUCCUUCCAGAACUUGGGUUACCACUUGACGAAGCUCCAAAGUUGUGGAUGUAGGAUCAAGUUCCCAGCAUCAAAUAGGAGCAUUUGCAACACCUUGACGUUCUUCAAGCCACAAACUUUGGUGAGUGGAGCAACGGUUACACCAUGAUCCUUGUUGCAAUCUUCAACGAAACCUCUGUUCGAUUGUUGUUGAAAUCAUGAAAAGAUGGGUCUGCAACAAGCAUUUGCUUGAAGACAGAGUUCUCCGCUUCAAAUUCAAGGUUAGAAAUGACAUGGAAAGUCUUUUUGAUGAGAACUCUGUCUUUACCGUCCACAGACUUCUUAUGCUUAACUGCAGCAAUCUUUGCACCGUUUGCAGGAGCUUUCUCCUCUUCGCUGUACUUCUGCUUGACCUUCCCUUCCAAAGAAUUUAGUCCAUCUCUGCCUCCUCAUGGCCCCUCUUCCAAUGCCGAACUACAGGCUCAAGCACGCCUGAGGGAGGAGAAUAUGAUGCUGGCGCGGGGGCAGCUUUAUCACUCAGCAAAUUUGGUUAAUGUGCCAUAU